rnacentral:rRNA from 2 species
GCAUAUCAAUAAGCGGAGGAAAAGAAACUAACAAGGAUUCCCCUAGUAACUGCGAGUGAAGCGGGAAAAGCUCAAAUUUAAAAUCUGGCGGUCUUUGGCCGUCCGAGUUGUAGUCUGGAGAAGCGUUUUCCGCGUUGGACCGUGUACAAGUCUCUUGGAACAGAGCGUCAUAGAGGGUGAGAAUCCCGUCUUUGACACGGACUACCAAUGCUUUGUGAUGCGCUCUCAAAGAGUCGCGUUGUUUGGGAAUGCAGCGCAAAAUGGGAGGUGAAUUCCUUCUAAAGCUAAAUAUUGGCGAGAGACCGAUAGCGAACAAGUACCGUGAGGGAAAGAUGAAAAGCACUUUGGAAAGAGAGUUAAACAGUACGUGAAAUUGCUGAAAGGGAAACGCUUGAAGUCAGUCGCGUCGUCCGGAACUCAGCCUUGCUUCGGCUUGGUGCACUUUCCGGAUGACGGGCCAGCAUCGAUUUUGACCGCUGGAAAAGGGCUGGAGGAAUGUGGCACCUUCGGGUGUGUUAUAGCCUUCAGUCGCAUACAGCGGUUGGGAUCGAGGAACGCAGCACGCCUUAUGGCUGGGGUUCGCCCACAUUCGUGCUUAGGAUGCUGGCAUAAUGGCUUUAAACGACCCGUCUUGAAACACGGACC